rnacentral:snRNA from 1 species
AGCUUUGCGCAGUGGCAGUAUUGUAGCCAAUGAGGUUUAUCCGAGGCGCGAUUAUUGCUAAUUGAAAACAAUAUUAUAACUCACAUUGUAGCUGGAAUUCUCUAUUGAUUGGUUGCUUCAUC